AGACCAAGAAGUGUUGUCUUAAAUUAAGGGAGAGGUAUUGUCAGUGGCAAAUUUGAGGAAUUUGAUGCAUUGGUGGAAUAUUGCAUGUGCAUGGUCAUGAAAUUAUACUUCAAUGCUGCAAUCCUCAAGGUCUGGAAAUUGGAGGUUUUGUACCUCAGCAGGGAUCGAUCAAAAGAUGUGCUUAAAUUAAUUAACACUACUAGUUUUGUAAAGAAAAUGAAACACUCUUGAUGACAUAUACUAGAUUUGUUGAAAUAGUUGAACUGAGGCAAUGAUAGCAAUUCAGGCAUUUUUGGGGAACAUUUUUAAAAAUGUACUUGUUUUUAAAAAGUAAAUUUAUAUUUGACCCAUAAUUUUCUCAGAACCAAUCCAAUAUUCAUCACUACAUUAAACAUAUUUUCAGAGGUC